UACGAAGGGGGCUAGCGUUGUUCGGAAUUACUGGGCGUAAAGCGCAUGUAGGCGGAUAUUUAAGUCAGGGGUGAAAUCCCGCAGCUCAACUCUGGAACUGCCUUUGAUACUGGGUGUCUUGAGUGUGAGAGAGGUAUGUGGAACUCCGAGUGUAGAGGUGAAAUUCGUAGAUAUUCGGAGGAACACCAGUGGCGAAGGCGGCUCACUGGUCCAUUACUGACGCUGAGGUGCGAAAGCGUGGGGAGCAAACAGG
rnacentral:rRNA from 1 species